UACGAAGGGGGCUAGCGUUGUUCGGAAUAACUGGGCGUAAAGCGCACGUAGGCGGAUUUGUCAGUCAGGGGUGAAAUCCCGGGGCUCAACCUCGGAACUGCCUUUGAUACUGCAAGUCUGGAGUCCGGAAGAGGUGAGUGGAAUUCCUAGUGUAGAGGUGAAAUUCGUAGAUAUUAGGAAGAACACCAGUGGCGAAGGCGGCUCACUGGUCCGGUACUGACGCUGAGGUGCGAAAGCGUGGGGAGCAAACAGG
rnacentral:rRNA from 1 species